GAUGAACGCUGGCGGCGUGCCUAAUACAUGCAAGUCGAGCGAACGGACGAGAAGCUUGCUUUUCUGAUGUUAGCGGCGGACGGGUGAGUAACACGUGGAUAACCUACCUAUAAGACUGGGAUAACUUCGGGAAACCGGAGCUAAUACCGGAUAAUAUUUUGAACCGCAUGGUUCAAAAGUGAAAGACGGUCUCGCUGUCACUUAUAGAUGGAUCCGCGCUGCAUUAGCUAGUUGGUAAGGUAACGGCUUACCAAGGCAACGAUGCAUAGCUGACCUGAGAGGGUGAUCGGCCACACUGGAACUGAGACACGGUCCAGACUCCUACGGGAGGCAGCAGUAGGGAAUCUUCCGCAAUGGGCGAAAGCCUGACGGAGCAACGCCGCGUGAGUGAUGAAGGUCUUCGGAUCGUAAAACUCUGUUAUUAGGGAAGAACAUAUGUGUAAGUAACUGUGCACAUCUUGACGGUACCUAAUCAGAAAGCCACGGCUAACUACGUG
rnacentral:rRNA from 1 species